rnacentral:rRNA from 1 species
AGUAAUGUAUGGGGAUCUGCCCGAUAGAGGGGGAUAACUACUGGAAACGGUGGCUAAUACCGCAUAAUGUCUACGGACCAAAGCAGGGGCUCUUCGGACCUUGCACUAUCGGAUGAACCCAUAUGGGAUUAGCUAGUAGGUGGGGUAAAGGCUCACCUAGGCGACGAUCUCUAGCUGGUCUGAGAGGAUGACCAGCCACACUGGGACUGAGACACGGCCCAG